CAAUAGCGUAUAUUAAUGUUGUUGCAGUUAAAAAGCUCGUAGUUGGAUUUCUGGUGGGAGCGGCCGGUCCACCGUAAGGUGUGUACUUGGUUGUCUCCUGUCAUCCUUGUGGGAACUGCUCUGGCAUUAAGUUGUCGGGGUUAGGGAACACAUCGUUUACUGUGAAAAAAUUAGAGUGUUUAAAGCAGGCUUAUGCCGUUGAAUACAUUAGCAUGGAAUAAUAAGAUAGGACUUUGGCGUCUAUUUUGUUGGUUUGCACACCAAGGUAAUGAUUAAUAGGGAUAGUUGGGGGUAUUCGUAUUUAAUUGUCAGAGGUGAAAUUCUUGGAUUUAUGAAAGACGAACUUCUGCGAAAGCAUUUACCAAAGAUGUUUUCAUUAA
rnacentral:rRNA from 1 species